GACGAACGCUGGCGGCGUGCUUAACACAUGCAAGUCGAACGGAAAGGCCCUGCUUGCAGGGUACUCGAGUGGCGAACGGGUGAGUAACACGUGGGUGAUCUGCCCUGCACUUCGGGAUAAGCCUGGGAAACUGGGUCUAAUACCGGAUAGGAGCCAUUUUUAGUGUGAUGGUUGGAAAGUUUUUUCGGUGUAGGAUGAGCUCGCGGCCUAUCAGCUUGUUGGUGGGGUAAUGGCCUACCAAGGCGGCGACGGGUAGCCGGCCUGAGAGGGUGGACGGCCACAUUGGGACUGAGAUACGGCCCAGACUCCUACGGGAGGCAGCAGUGGGGAAUAUUGCACAAUGGGCGCAAGCCUGAUGCAGCGAAGCCGCGGGGGGGAUUACGGCCUUCGGGUUGGAAACUCCUUUCGCUAGGGACGAAGCUUUUUGUGACGGUACCUAGAUAAGAAGCACCGGCUAACUACGUG
rnacentral:rRNA from 1 species